rnacentral:rRNA from 1 species
UACAGAGGUCCCAAGCGUUGUUCGGAUUCAUUGGGCGUAAAGGGUGUGUAGGUGGCGCGCUAAGUCGGGUGUGAAAUUUCGGAGCUUAACUCCGAAACUGCAUUCGAUACUGGCGUGCUUGAGGACUGGAGAGGAGACUGGAAUUCAUGGUGGUAGCAGUGAAAUGCGUAGAGAUCAUGAGGAAGACCAGUGGCGAAGGCGGGUCUCUGGACAGUUACUGACGCUGAGGCACGAAGGCCAGGGAGCAAACGGG